rnacentral:rRNA from 1 species
CCUACGGGUGGCAGCAGUGGGGGAUAUUGCACAAUGGGGGGAACCCUGAUGCAGCGACGCCGCGUGGGUGAAGAAGCGCCUCGGCGCGUAAAGCCCUGUCAGCAGGGAAGAAAAUGACGGUACCUGAAGAAGAAUCCCCGGCUAACUACGUGCCAGCAGCCGCGGUAAUACGUAGGGGGCAAGCGUUAUCCGGAUUUACUGGGUGUCAAGGGGGCGCAGACGGCGAUGCAAGCCAGGAGUGAAAGCCCGGGGCUCAACCCCGGGACUGCUCUUGGAACUGCGGGGCUGGAGUGCAGGAGGGGCAGGCGGAAUUCCUGGUGUAGCGGUGAAAUGCGUAGAUAUCAGGAGGAACACCGGUGGCGAAGGCGGCCUGCUGGACUGCAACUGACGUUGAGGCCCGAAAGCGUGGGGAGCAAACAGGAUUAGAUACCCUGGUAGUC